rnacentral:rRNA from 1 species
CCUACGGGAGGCAGCAGUAAGGAAUAUUGGUCAAUGGAGGCAACUCUGAACCAGCCAUGCCGCGUGCAGGAAGACAGCCCUAUGGGUCGUAAACUGCUUUUAUACGGGAAUAAACUUUGAUUCGUGAAUCAAGCUGAAUGUACCGUAAGAAUAAGGAUCGGCUAACUCCGUGCCAGCAGCCGCGGUAAUACGGAGGAUCCAAGCGUUAUCCGGAUUUAUUGGGUUUAAAGGGAGCGUAGGCGGCCUAUUAAGUCAGGGGUGAAAGACGGUGGCUCAACCAUCGCAGUGCCUUUGAUACUGAUGGGCUUGAAUAUAGUUGAGGUAGGCGGAAUGUGACAAGUAGCGGUGAAAUGCAUAGAUAUGUCACAGAACACCGAUUGCGAAGGCAGCUUACUAAGCUAUGAUUGACGCUGAGGCUCGAAAGCGUGGGGAUCAAACAGGAUUAGAUACCCUGGUAGUCCACGCCCUAAACCGAUGAUAACUCGAUGUUGGCGAUAUACAGUCAGCGCGAGACGGAGAGUUAGUUAGUCUACCGUGGGUUAGGUUACGUCCGCCGAGGGUAGGAACGUUACGAGUAGAGUUAGACGGCGUUGAGACGUUGCCGACGGACGACCGACGAGGGAGGUUAGGAG